UACGUAGGGUGCGAGCGUUGUCCGGAAUUACUGGGCGUAAAGAGCUCGUAGGUGGUUUGUCGCGUUGUCCGUGAAAACUCACAACUCAAUUGUGGGCGUGCGGGCGAUACGGGCAGACUGGAGUACUGCAGGGGAGACUGGAAUUCCUGGUGUAGCGGUGGAAUGCGCAGAUAUCAGGAGGAACACCGGUGGCGAAGGCGGGUCUCUGGGCCACUGACUGACGCUGAGAAGCGAAAGCAUGGGGAGCGAACAGG
rnacentral:rRNA from 1 species